GACGAACGCUGGCGGCGUGCUUAACACAUGCAAGUCGAGCGGAAAGGCCACUUCGGUGGUACUCGAGCGGCGAACGGGUGAGUAACACGUGAGUAAUCUGCCCUUGGCUUUGGGAUAGCCACCGGAAACGGUGAUUAAUACCGGAUAUGACCACUCUAGGCAUCUAGUGGUGGUGGAAAGUUUUUCGGCCAGGGAUGUGCUCGCGGCCUAUCAGCUUGAUGGUGAGGUAAUGGCUCACCAUGGCUUCGACGGGUAGCCGGCCUGAGAGGGUGACCGGUCACACUGGGACUGAGACACGGCCCAGACUCCUACGGGGGGCAGCAGUGGGGAAUAUUGGACAAUGGGCGGAAGCCUGAUCCAGCAACGCCGCGUGAGGGAUGACGGCCUUCGGGUUGUAAACCUCUUUCGGUAGGGACGAAGCGUGAGUGACGGUACCUACUAAAGAAGCACCGGCCAACUACGUGCCAGCCGCCGCAGUAAGAC
rnacentral:rRNA from 1 species